CUGUACAAAUGUGCACAGCGAUUGUGUGUACUACUGCACCACUAUAAUACACACCGAUACUGUUCCGACGCGGACAACCGCCCGGCAGCUGUUUCAUAAUAUUCUGAAUUUAUGUUUUUUUUAUUUUUAAAAAUAAUCUUUAUAACACUAUAAAUACUUAGUUAUAUUAUUAUGAUUUAUGUUUUCAAUUUUUCUUGAGUUAAGAUAGGUAGUGCACCUAUACAAGACCCGCCACUGAAUUUGUUAAUCACCAAUAAUUAUGAAACUAUUAGUAGAUAAAUUUGUUUUUACAGUCCCAACCACUACUAAAUACUAAGUACUAGUUAUUUAGUACAAAUAGCCAAAUUAGAAUAUAUUUUUAACAUGAUACCUUAUGAAUAAAUAUUAAAAAUACAUUGUUCAUUUUUUGUAUAUAUUUAUAUAUUUAAGUGCGUAUGCAUAAUACUAAUAGCAUAAUUAUACCAAUGCAUAAAAUAUAUAUUCGCUAAUCAGUAAUCACUAAUGCUACAUUAUACUUAAAAGUAAUAACUAAUAAGUAUGCUCGUUUAAGACAAAAACAGAUAAGAUUAUACACACAUUGGGUUACAAGUUAUUAAAAUAAUAUACAAAAUUAUGAACAAUUUUGGUUAAUUUUCAAAUGUUUUAUCAGAUAAUAAUUAAAAAUUAUGUUGAAAAUAUUAAAAUUUUCCAUUCUCAGUAAGAUUUUAUUAAGUCAUAAAGUUUAAACUUGCAAAAUAAUACAUAAAAUAUUAUACUUUUAAUUUUAAAUUAAUGUGUAUUUUUACUGUUUAAGAACAGUAUAAUAUUACAAACUAAAAAAAAAACUUAACACGUUGACUGCCAUGUGGCAGGCGACACCCGCAUAGUACUAAGAUACAACAGUAUUUUUAUGGACACACCCUCUUAUUAUAUAUAUGCCAUAUGACUGCCAGCGACUGUAAACGAGUUUUAUAUUAUUAACUUUUCCAUGGUGCUACAAUAACGCACUAAAAAAAGAGCACGUCGAGGGAAUCUUUACAAUAUUUUUGAUGCAAUAAACAUAUUUUUUUAAACUUUUUCAAGUACAAUGGUAUAUACAAAUUUGUAACAACACUGAAAAAUAUACUUUACAUACCAAUGACACAUAUCGUGUGACUGCCAAUGGCAGUCAACAUGUUAAGAAUAUAAAUCGCAUUGUAUACUACUUCUAUAUUUUGCCAAAUAAACAAAGUACAAAAGCUUACCUGGUCGAGUGUCAAAAUAAGCAGAAGGUGGUUCAGGAUGAUCAAUUAGUCUUUUGCUAAACAAAAAAAAUGGGCUUGUAUCAGUACCGGCACAA